CGCCGCGGACGCUUCGAGCUAGUACCGUUAUUCCACUGAGCUGAGCUUCGUGAGAGAGAGGAUUCGAGAAAGUGAGGUCCGCCGUCCGACGGUCCAGGCUCGUGGUCGUGGCCAGCGACAGAGGGAGCAGCCGCUGCCUGACUCCGGCGCGCCCAAGCCUCGGCCGGGUCUGGAGUAGCUGCUCUAGCAUGCCGUCGUUCCCCUCCUAGACUGAGCAGAUCCAUUGGAGAAGGUGGGGACCUGCAGGGCAUGAGGUCGGCUGGGUGCGGCGCUGCUUCACCGGGAUGCCGCAGGAGGUCGUGCAGGCGCACAUCAAGACGGGAGGCCGAUGCACACUCGUCAGACAGAGAUUCAAGGCACAACAACAAACCUAUGGAUGAUGAAGCGCGGGAGCUCCUUCCAUGCCGAAGAACACCAUAGAUGCUGGUCCAUGUGAGAGGGCAAUUCUCUAUCGAUCCUGAUCUAUUCUCGUGUGAUCCACAAUGGAGUAGAUAGAUAGGAGAAAGGGUGUUGGAGAUUUUGGCGGCAGUCUGUUGAUACGCGGGAGAAAGAAAGGCAGUUUUGCUGAUUUUCUGUAAUUAGAGAUA